rnacentral:rRNA from 1 species
AGUCUGCAACUCGACUACAUGAAGCUGGAAUCGCUAGUAAUCGCGGAUCAGAAUGCCGCGGUGAAUACGUUCCCGGGUCUUGUACACACCGCCCGUCACACCAUGGGAGUCGAUAACGCCCGAAGUCAGUGACCCAACCUGUAAGGAGGGGGCUGCCGAAGGCGGGAUUGAUAACUGGGGUGAAGUCGUAACAAGGUAAC